rnacentral:rRNA from 1 species
GACGAACGCUGGCGGCGUGCUUAACACAUGCAAGUCGAACGCUGAAGCUCAGCUUGCUGGGUGGGUGAGUGGCGAACGUGUGAGUAACACGUGAGUAACCUGCCCCCUUCUUUGGGAUAACGCCCGGAAACGGGUGCUAAUACUGGAUAUUCACUGAUCUUCGCAUGGGGGUUGGUGGAAAGGUUUUUUUUGGUGGGGGAUGGGCUCGCGGCCUAUCAGCUUGUUGGUGGGGUGAUGGCCUACCAAGGCUUUGACGGGUAGCCGGCCUGAGAGGGUGACCGGUCACAUUGGGACGGAGAUACGGCCCAGACUACUACGGGAGGCAGCAGUGGGGAAUAUUGAACGAUGGGCGAAAGCCUGAUGCAGCGACGCGGCGUGAGGGAUGGAGGCCUUCGGGUUGUAAACCUCUUUCGCUCAUGGUCAAGCCGCAACAUUGGUUGUGGUGAGGGUAGUGGGUAAAGAAGCGCCGGCUAACUACGUG